rnacentral:rRNA from 1 species
UACAGAGGUGGCAAGCGUUGUUCGGAAUUACUGGGCGUAAAGGGCGCGUAGGCGGCCUUCUAAGUCAGACGUGAAAUCCCCAGGCUUAACUUGGGAACUGCGUCUGAUACUGGGAGGCUUGAGUGCGGGAGAGGGAUGUGGAAUUCCAGGUGUAGCGGUGAAAUGCGUAGAUAUCUGGAGGAACACCGGUGGCGAAGGCGGCAUCUUGGUCCGACACUGACGCUGAGGCGCGAAAGCUAGGGGAGCAAACGGG